CGAAAGUGAUCAAGGCUACGAGUCAGGUUGUUUCAGGGAUCAUGUACAGGUUUGAAGUGGAAAUGGUUAUAUCUGGCUACAAGUCAUCCCCACAGGAGAUGUGUGCCAAGGACAACUCAGAGCUCAAAAAGCCAAACACAUGCUAUUUUGAGGUCUGGAGUCAACCAUGGCUGGGCCCACCCAAGCUUAUGAAGUAUGCCUGCAAACAUUAGAUUUUCUUGAAGAAGCUUCAUUGUCCAGAAAGGUUUUGGAUUGCCGCAUGUAGUCAUACUUAUUCAGUAUUUUAAUGAAAUUUAGUUUACAUUUAUUUUAACUUACCUACUGACUCCAAGUUCAAGUUUUAUUUGUCACAUAGCCUAUGCAUACAAGUAUAAUGAGCAGUGAAAUGCUUACAUACCUACAGUAUACUGCUGUACACACAUACCACUAAUAUAAAUUGUUGAACCUUAACCAACUGUUGACAAUUCUAACCAACCUUUCUCUCAAAAUAAAGAUUUUCUACACCAUCGGCCUUAA